rnacentral:lncRNA from 1 species
UCAGAUGGAAAAUCUGUCUGAACAGGGGCAGUGACUGGGUUUUACUUCCCCUGUAGAAUUUGUCCUUUAAUGGAGGAAAAACCCUGAGGGAAUGGUGGCACAAACAGUGGAUUGUGACUUGUCCUCCCCAUGCCUGGCAUCUUCCAAAGUCACUACAUCUGUGCCAAAGUCCAAGACUUGAAUGCACAGCAUGCCACAGAUCAUCAGUGCUGCUGGUCAAGGAGUCAGGACCUCACAGUGAAGCCAGUGGUGCACAUCAGGAGUAGGUGUUGCUCAUGGACAACCAGAAGUUCAUUCCCAUCUUUGGAGGAGAAAGGAAUACAAAUCACAUUCUUCUGCUGCUUAGAGGAACCAUCCCAGGGAGAGAUUCCAUUUCAUUUUGGGCAUCACUGGAGCCCAGGGAGGUGCACUUUGAGCUGUGGGUGUCUAGUGGUGCAUAAAAAGAUGGGAAAGAGGAGCAUAGGCCUGAAAUAAUGCCCCAGCUCUUAGUGGGCAGCAUGUGGGUUCAUUUCAUUCAUAAAGCUGGCACUGUGGGUUUGCUCAGAGGCACAGCUCCAGUCUGGAGUCACACAGCUGUGCCUGCACGUGCUCCCAGAACAGCACUCGUCUGCACUGAGCUCCACUGGAGUGCUUGGGGCCUCAAUACUAAUUGCACAGCAUCAAGAAGGGUUUCUACACAUUCUCUUACAUCUAACUAAUCAUUAACUAAU